GAAGGUCCCCGAACCCCAUGUUGGGCGCCCGUUAUCCACAAAGAGGGGGUGGCGGCUGGUGGGAGGUGUUAAAUCAGUUAUUUUGCUGCUGAGCUCCGCCAGUAUGGACUCUCAAAACAAGGCCUGGCUUUAAAAAUAAAAAGUUGCUAACCAGCACUUAUGAGGUAAAUAUGUUGUUAUAAGCAGAAUGCGGUCGGUUUUAUUUCUCUCCGGUAUGGAAGAGCGUCAUCACACCGGGAAUAAAGUGCGUGAAGCGGCGGAAACGGGGCGGCGGAUGUGAAGUGGUCCAGCCAAAUAAAUAAGAUAUGAACGCGUCUUUUCUUCCCAGCCUGGCAACAUCGCGGGGAGGUCAACGACGCUGCGGAUAGAAAGAGAUGGCAACCAUGAUUUAGACACGGGAAUAAUAAUUUAAAAAAAAAAAAACAUUUGUAAAGGAGGGUUUCGCCUUUACCGGAGGUUUGGGAGUACCGAGACGCGGCGGCGCUGCGCCCGGGCUCUGGAGCCCCGGAUCCCGCUUGGAAGCCGAUGAAGUGCCGGUGGUGCCCGGGCCGUAUGGAGGUCCGUCGUCCAUGAUUAAGCGACUUUGUCGUGGAUUUUCUUGGCACGCAGAAGGGCUUGUAAACGACGUUUAUAUCGCCGUAGCAAAGGUCUCCAACCUCCCUUCACCCCUCUCCUCCCUGUGGAUCAUAGGAACGCCCCGUCAUCACCCCCUCCUCCCCGGACAGACCAACGGAAGGAUUCCCGGAUUGCCUUUCAGCCCUGAUUCCUUGUCUCUCUCUGCCCAUCUUCCACCUCCAUCACUUUCCUUUGUCAUAAUGGCUAGCUGAAUGAUUUAUAAAGUACUGUAGUGCCCUCGAGCAAGGCAUUGCUCUGCCGUUGACACGUUUGUCAAUAUGGUUGGGGGUCCGAGGGUGUUAAGAGGGAUAAAUCAGCAGCAUCGACGUUCACAGUGUAAACGUAAUAUAUGUGACUGAUCUAAGAGA